AAUAAUAAAAAUCUCAGGGAUGAGUAUCCUUUGGGUUCUAACACUACAAGAAAAAAGGAAUAUCACGACAGGCAAACUGCAGCGGUUGCAUUCUAGCCGUCGUCGCUUUUCCCUUUUGUGGCAGUUACUGUAGCAGUUCCUUUCCGCCGUCGCAUUUUUCCCCUUUUUGCAUCUUAUCUCUUUAAUCUACCCAAACCCAAACACUUCAUUAACCCAAAUCCCUAAUCGAUUUCAGUUUUCCUUCUCGUCUCAGAUCUGUACUCUUCGAACCCAAAUCGAUUUCAGUUCGUCAAACCCAAAUCACUUCAUGCCUCAGAUCUUCGAUUUCUCUCUUCACACACCUUGAAUCCCUAAUAAAUUUCGAAAUUUCCCUAUCUCACGGUUUGCUUAACUUCGAAAUUUCGAUUCAUUAUGUCUUCUCAACGCUCUCUGCUUUCUCUGAUUUUGUUUUCAUUGUAAAUAGUGAGUUGGUUGAUUUCAUUGUGAUUUUGUGCAUAUACGUAGUUAUUCGAACCACCUAUAUGUGGGUUUUCUAUGAUUGCUUGAUUUCUAACAGUUGCAUUUUGUUUGUACUAACUUUUGCUUGAUUUUGUCACUUUGUUCUUAUAUUGGUGUUUACUAUUUUUUGCUUUUGUUUCUAGUUGUGUAACAAGAUUUCUAAACCCCUAUUUAUGUUGUUUCUAAACUUGCAUCGGUUAAUUGCUAAAGCGUAAUAUUUAUGAACAUCUAUGAACUCUGAUUUUGAUGUGUUUGUUGGAGUGAAUUUGAAUUAGGGGUUGAAUCAUGAUGAUGGAGUGUUGUGUUUGGGAUUACACCUUUUCAGUUUCUCCAAAUGAAAGAUUUUUAUAAGUUUGGCGUGUGUAUUGCAAAAAGUGAUUAUUUAUAGUUCCAGUCACCAUGGCAUUGUUCCUCUUUGUAUAUGCUCCUUAUUAGAUUCUUAAUAGUUUUAAAUGAAUUUUCACUUUGAAUUUGAAAAAUUUGACAAGGUUGCUGCAUGUUAAGUUGAGACAGCUUUAUGCAAGAUUUGCUUCAAAUUUUGGAACUGAUUCUUAGAAGAGUGAUUCUGGCAAGAGGAACCCCAACAACCAAAUGCUUGGAAGGCCUGUGAGUUGCAAUGGAGGCUUGCAAUGGCUUUGCAGUAACUUAUGUUCCAUUAGAUGACACUCUUGGUCCUUAUGCUGUGGAGUUUAUCAUAAACCAUGCUGAAGUUUCAAUUGCAUUUCUACAAGAAAAUAAGAUCCCAUCAGUAUGUGCUAGUUCUUUCUUUGAGCUUAAUGUUUUGUUUUCACUAUUGAAAUAUGAAUUGUCUUCCACAUUUAAUUGUUCUACUGUUUAAAUCUUCUGAGAUAGAAAUAAGCAUCUAUCUUUUUAUUUCUUCCUAAACUAACAUUUAUUUUCAUCGAUUUUGUCAUGUCUUGAUCACUGUUCUUUAAAUCUCAAAAGUAGGUCAAGCAUUAUUGUCUUAUUUACUCACAGUCCAGAUUUUGUCAUGUCUUGCUUUACCUGAAUCAUCUUUGAACUUUUCUCGCUAUGACGGUAUCAGGUCAGUGGUUGACUCCCCAUGUAACCCCCCUCUCUCUCUCCCUCCAUAUACACACACAACUGAACACAGUGUUUUGUUGUGUUCUUAUUUUCAUUGAUAAAUAAUUUUGUUUGGCUUGGAUCCAUUUUCUCUAUUCUAGAUAUGGAAACAAGUUUACGCUGAUUAGUUGGACUCUCUCUUUGGAGAUUCCUAAGCCAGAGGAUUAAGCUCUAAGGUGACAACGAGAGGUUUGGGAUCUAUAAGAAGACGUUUUAUGUGAGUUAAUGUGUUACAAGCAAUAACCGCUACAAGUAAUAGCUUUAAGGAGGCACUAAAUCAAAAUAAUAUCUUCAUUUCCCUUGAGCUGCUAAUAAAAUUGGUAGAAAGAAAACUGAUCUUUUGGCUAAAUAUGUUGGUGACUUCAUGACUAUAAGUAUUUUUCAUUUUUCUUAUUGGCUAGAUUUUUAUCUCAUACUUCUGAUUUUAUGUGAACUGGAUAAGUUAGGUUGAGGUUUCCAUUACUGGUAUUCAACUUCACCAACAAAUAUGAGGUGCUCGUCAUAUUGUCACAAAGCUAGUAGUCAUGGAGUUGCAUAUGGGAAAUGAAGCAGGUCAUGGAGAUGCAUAUUUUUAAUUUUAGUGUUUACCAAAGAAGAAUAGAUACUUAGAUAUCAUAAUUUUGCUUUGUUUGUUAUUAAGUUUGAACCAUUAGCAAACUUAGUAUUUUGAUACUUAAAGUAGUCAUGCAUAUAGAUUGUUAUGCUGAAUUUUUGCACUAUGUAUGUAAAGCUACUGGAGCUCAUUUGUAUUCGAAUUUAAUGUAUGAAAUUCCAUUUAAAUUUGAA